GUCCGUUCGGGGACAUCGGAUAAAAUUGGAAUCACACAGAGAAUAUUAGCAUGGCCCUGUGCAAGAAUGACACGCACACUAAGAUUAAUAUUAUGCCAAUUC